rnacentral:rRNA from 1 species
AUGGUAAUUGUGUCGUCUUCUGGUACCAAACUUACCAUUUACAUUGUGGGUGGAUUACUUAUCUGUUCCUUGGAUUCGCUACUGUCUCUUCUCGGUGUUGGGGCAAGGCAUCAGGACCUUGGAGCCUCUUUUUUGUUCUGUCCGCAAGAUCAGUGUUCUCAACUGGUUGUAGCCUGUUUACCAAUUAUGCCGAAAAUCAUCUGUGUUACUUUUGGCACAUCUUUAGAAGUACCUACUAUCUCUAUGAUAUGUUGUUCUCAGAAUGAUGGCGUGUUCUAUAUGAUUUUUUUGCAUGAGUCAUAUUUCUUUUGGAGUGCUUUACUUAAGCAAGUUAUUUCUUAUAUAUUUGCAGUGUUUCUUGCACUGUAUUAA